rnacentral:rRNA from 1 species
CGUGUAGGCGGCCAUUUAAGUCUGGAGUGAAAUUCCUAUUUUAAGGUAGGAACUGCUUUGGAAACUGGAUGGCUUGAGUGCAGGAGAGGUUAUCGGAAUUCCCGGUGUAGCGGUGAAAUGCGUAGAGAUCGGGAGGAACACCAGUGGCGAAGGCGGGUAACUGGACUGCAACUGACGCUGAGGCGCGAAAGUGUGGGGAGCAAACA